ACGGAAGGCGGCAGUGGGGAAUAUUGGGCAAUGGGCGAAAGCCUGACCCAGCAACGCCGCGUGAAGGAAGACGGUCUUCGGAUUGUAAACUUCUGUUCUUAGUGAAGAUAAUGACGGUAGCUAAGGAGCAAGCCACGGCUAACUACGUGCCAGCAGCCGCGGUAAUACGUAGGUGGCAAGCGUUGUCCGGAUUUACUGGGUGUAAAGGGAGCGCAGGCGGGAAAUCAAGUUGGAUGUGAAAUGUCGGGGCUUAACCCCGGAACUGCAUCCAAAACUGAUUUUCUUGAGUGAAGUAGAGGUAGGCGGAAUUCCGAGUGUAGCGGUGAAAUGCGUAGAUAUUCGGAGGAACACCAGUGGCGAAGGCGGCCUACUGGGCUUUAACUGACGCUGAGGCUCGAAAGUGUGGGGGGCAAACAGGAUUAGAUACCCUGGUA
rnacentral:rRNA from 1 species